rnacentral:rRNA from 1 species
UACGGAGGGUGCAAGCGUUGUUCGGAAUUAUUGGGCGUAAAGCGCGUGUAGGCGGUUCGUUAAGUCUGAUGUGAAAGCCCUGGGCUUAACCUGGGAGGUGCAUUGGAAACUGGGAGACUUGAGUACGGGAGAGGAGAGUGGAGUUCCUAGUGUAGGAGUGAAAUCCGUAGAUAUUAGGAGGAACACCGGUGGCGAAGGCGGCUCUCUGGACCGAUACUGACGCUGAGACGCGAAAGCGUGGGUAGCAAACAGGAUUAGAAACCCGU